UGGGGAAUAUUGCACAAUGGAGGGAACUCUGAUGCAGCGACGCCGCGUGAACGAAGAAGGCUUUCGAGUCGUAAAGUUCUUUUAUAUGGGAAGAUAAUGACGGUACCAUAAGAAGAAGCCCCGGCUAACUACGUGCCAGCAGCCGCGGUAAUACGUAGGGGGCUAGCGUUGUCCGGAAUCACUGGGCGUAAAGGGUUCGCAGGCGGAAAUGCAAGUCAGGUGUAAAAGGCAGUAGCUUAACUACUGUAAGCAUUUGAAACUGCAGAUCUUGAGAAGAGUAGAGGUAAGUGGAAUUUUUAGUGUAGCGGUGAAAUGCGUAGAUAUUAAAAAGAAUACCGGUGGCGAAGGCGACUUACUGGGCUCAUUCUGACGCUGAGGAACGAAAGCGUGGGUAGCAAACAGG
rnacentral:rRNA from 1 species